rnacentral:rRNA from 1 species
AGUGAACGCUGGCGGUAGGCCUAACACAUGCAAGUCGAACGGCAGCACCGUAAGAGCUUGCUCUUACGGGUGGCGAGUGGCGGACGGGUGAGGAAUACAUCGGAAUCUACUUUUUCGUGGGGGAUAACGUAGGGAAACUUACGCUAAUACCGCAUACGACCUACGGGUGAAAGCAGGGGAUCUUCGGACCUUGCGCGAUUGAAUGAGCCGAUGUCGGCUUAGCUAGUUGGCGGGGUAAAGGCCCACCAAGGCGACGAUCCGUAGCUGGUCUGAGAGGAUGAUCAGCCACACUGGAACUGAGACACGGUCCAGACUCCUACGGGAGGCAGCAGUGGGGAAUAUUGGACAAUGGGCGCAAGCCUGAUCCAGCCAUACCGCGUGGGUGAAGAAGGCGUUCGGGUUGUAAAGCCCUUUUGUUGGGAAAGAAAAGCAGCAGGUUAAGACCCCGCUGUUCUGACGGUACCCAAAGAAUAAGCACCGGCUAACUUCGUG